rnacentral:rRNA from 1 species
CGAACGUUGGCGGCGUGGAUUAGGCAUGCAAGUCGAACGCGAACGUCGGGCUUCGGCCUGGCUAGUAGAGUGGCGAACGGGUGAGUAACGCGUGGGCAAUCUACCCUCGAGUGGGGAAUAACCAUUCUAACGAGUGGCUAAUACCGCAUGUCGCCGAGACCUCGCAUGGGGUUUCGGUGAAAGCUGGGGAUCUUCGGACCUGGCGCUUGAGGAGGAGCCCGCGUCCCAUUAGCUUGUUGGUGGGGUAACGGCCCACCAAGGCUACGAUGGGUAGCCGAUCUGAGAGGAUGACCGGCCACACUGGGACUGAGAUACGGCCCAGACUCCUACGGGAGGCAGCAGUCGAGAGGCUUUGGCAAUGGGGGAAACCCUGACCAAGCGACGCCGCGUGCGGGAAGAAGGCUUUCGGGUCGUAAACCGCUGUCAGGAGGGAAGAAUCCCCUCGGGCCAAUACCCCGGGGGUUGACGGUACCUCCAGAGGAAGCUCCGGCUAACUCC